GCAUCAUAAUACGACUUCGAAUGGCGGGAUAUAUUUUCGUCAUCUGACAUACUGGCACCAAUAGCGCAAAUUGCAUAAAUAAGAUGUUCAGUGCAGUAGAAGCCAUCGUGAAAAUUGUAAUAGUAGUCUGAAAGGAACGACUCCCGGUAUACAAAGAGAAAUUGAGAAUAUUGAUACCUAAAAAACAACUUUAAGCAUUCUGAUACCAUGGGAGAAUAAGAAGCUUGAAAAUUCCAAGUAGUCUUGUUGUCUUUUGUGAUAUCUGGCAAAGAUAGAUCAUAGGCACUUGUCGGUCCAUAAAAGGAUACCGUCUUCG